GACGAACGCUGGCGGCGUGCUUAACACAUGCAAGUCGAACGGUGAAGCGAGUGCUUGCACUCGUGGAUCAGUGGCGAACGGGUGAGUAACACGUGAGUAACCUGCCCAUCACUCUGGGAUGAGCACUGGAAACGGUGUCUAAUACUGGAUACGACCAACCCUUGCAUGGGGUGUUGGUGGAAAGAUUUAUCGGUGAUGGAUGGACUCGCGGCCUAUCAGCUUGUUGGCGGGGUAAUGGCCCACCAAGGCGACGACGGGUAGCCGGCCUGAGAGGGUGACCGGCCACACUGGGACUGAGACACGGCCCAGACUCCUACGGGAGGCAGCAGUGGGGAAUAUUGCACAAUGGGCGAAAGCCUGAUGCAGCGACGCCGCGUGAGGGAUGACGGCCUUCGGGUUGUAAACCUCUUUCAGCAGGGAAGAAGCGAAAGUGACGGUACCUGCAGAAGAAGCACCGGCUAACUACGUG
rnacentral:rRNA from 1 species